rnacentral:tRNA from 1 species
ACAGGUUGCAUUUAUGAAAUACUUUUUGUAAGUAUCACAUAUUACAUUUUAGAAGAUAAAACAUUCGGUGAAUGACUUACAGGUUGCAUUUAUGAAAUACUUUUUGUAAGUAUCCAAUAUUAUAUUUUAGAAGAUAACAAAGAAAAAAUUGAAAAUAUGGAUUUUGUCAUUUGUUUUCUGUCUCUAUCCUUAGUUAGAAUGUGAGAGCGCAGUGAGGCCAGAGGCCUGCACCUGCAGCAUGUGGAAGUUCCCAGGCUAGGGGUCAAAUUGGAGCUGCAACUGCAGGCCUACCCCACAGCCACAGCAACACCAGAUCCGAGCCACAUCUGUGACCUACACUGUAGCUUGUGGCAGUGCCAGAUCCUUAACCCACUGAGUGAGGUCAGGGAUCAAACCUGGUCCUCACAAAUACUAUGUCAGGUUCCUAACCUGCCAAGCCACAAUGGGAACUCCUGAAUCUUUAUUCUAGUCAGCUGGAUGCUUCACUUUCCCAUGAGUGUGUCAUGAUCAGCCUUUGUCCUAUAUCAUCACCCCCAAAUCAAGCGCUCUUCCUAAACCCUGUCCAUCCUUCAUGUCUCAGAGCAGCUAAAGUCUCCCCUUCUCUAGGUGAUAAUUAUGUCAAGUGUAUGUGCAUACCCCAAGCUAGACUAGGAACCUCUUGCAGGCAGGAAUCAGAUGUCUGAACCAAAACACACAGCAGUAUCUCCAUGUGGGACCGCCAGACAGUGAGAUCUUUGAGGAUAAGGGCUACAUCUUUAGUGCUCAGAGUGUGUCAUAUGUGGAGGCCAUAGAGGGUAGGCAUUUAGUGGAGGUUUGCUCUGUUGAUUAAGGCAGCAUGUCUAUCAGGCUUUGCCUUUCCCUAUACAGAAGGAGGUUCCCUUGAGAGUCCCAGUGUCUGUCUUACUAUUAACGUGACUGAAAAGCAACAAGACCAGAUCCCCACCUGGUGACUUCAUCUCCUUCCACUGACAGUGGACAGUGUGCUUAAUUAAGAGCUUCAUAAUGACUUUCUAAGGGACUUAGCCUUGGAAUCUCGUGCUAACAAAUGGCCCAGAACAUGACUUCUUUUUAGUUAACUCAUGCUGCUGCCAAGAGAUCAGGUUGUGGGGUUUUUUGUUGUCGUUGUUGUUAAACAACCUGUUUAACAAUCCAUUUUACAUUUUUAAGGAGGACUUAGGUCAAGAUGAACUGCCUGCCUACACUUUCUGAAAUCAGCUUUUCCCUAUUUCCGGAACUAGGGCAUUUGCUCAGCUCCUAUCCUGGCCUGUCUAGGAGCCCAGGGAGUUCCGAAUAGAUUCUCUGAAGUUUUUCCAGAAUAUUCCUUCACAUCUCAAAUGGAAUUUUGCUGAUCUAACACCUGAUCUCGUUGCCCUAGAUUGACGGUUUCCUACUAACUCCAGGCUUGAUGAGGACUUCAGUUGUUUUCUAGGACACUGGUUCUACCCUGUCCAAUUUGCAGACUCUUCUCAUUGCUAGAGAAUACAAAAGCCUACUUGGAAUUUUAACACUCUGUUUUGUGAUAGCUAUUAAUUUUGGCACACUUUCACCAAUCAAUGAGUCUGUCCCUUUGUUCUGUUUGCUCCAAACAUUUUAAAGUCUUUUGUUGUCUUAUUUAUUGCUCGUAAACCCAAAAUGAGUUUGAGGGUCUUUCUCUAGCUGUAAUUCCUUCACAACCUCGACAUAUUUAAAGAGUUCAUCCUGACUUGCAGGUCUGUCUUUCCACCCUCUACCCUUGCCUUUUAAAUGCUCAAGCUGAACAGAGAGGCCUCUGCAGAGCCUUGUUGCUUCCCUCAGAGGUUGUUCCUUUUCUGCCUUUUCUUCCUUCCUGACUCGAGUGGUGGUAUGAUCAGAAUUACAUUUUAUAAGCAGGAAAUUCUAAUUACUGCACAGUGGCAGCUGGAGCGCCUUAUCCAUUCCAUCCUCCUGGUCCUCCAGAAGCAGCUGCUAAGAGGGUGAUGAUUGUGUAAGCAAACAUGGUAUUAAUUUGCUCUCCAGGGGGGCUCAUGUGGGGAACAGAACCAAUGAGGAUGAGCGUGUUUCCCUGGCAGGAGAAAUAAAGAAGGUGGUGUGCAGGGGCAGAGAGGCGGAGGAGGGAGGCUACAGCAGGUGCACGCCAACCUCCUGCUCCAAGCAUCAGCUCCUCCCCGUGGAUGUAGAUGGUAGCUGGUGCCUCACUGGGCUUCCCUGCCAGCCUCAGUGACGGCUGCUUGCAGAUGCCGGCAGUGGCCAAUCACUGCCACUGGGGAGUAGAAUCAGGGAGGUCAUUCAGUCUUUCAUUCGCUAGAGCCUCAUCCAUGCCUGUCGCCUGGUGGGGGGGCCUGCCAGAAGCAUGUGAGUUUGAAUUCUAUCACCACAGUGAUGCCCUGGGGUCUCCAAACUUCACUUAGAUCCUUUCUCACAUACUGGAGAUACCUCCUUCUGUCCCUCAUUUUUCCAUUCUUGGUUCUGUAUGUUUUUUGUUGGUGUUGGUGGUGGUCGCGGUGGGUUGUUUGUUUUUCUUUGUCAUAGCAUGCACCUACUCAAUGUGGAAUCUCAGUUCCCAGACCAGGGAUUGAACCUGGGCUGCAGCAGUGAAAGCACUGAAUCCUAAUCACUAGACCAUCAGGAAACUUCCCUCUCUGUUUUUAUAUCAUUAUUUUUUGUUACUUAUUUCUGUAAUAUAUAUUUUUAUUUUUUAAGUUAUUUAUGUUUUUAAUUCCCAUAAGGCAGGAUGUGUUUAUGGGCUUAAUUAUAGCCAGGAUAAGAGUUGCCCAGAGUGUGCAAACCUGCCUGAUCCCAAGACAUGUGGCUCUCCAUCUAAGAACCCUCGUCGUGUUUCCCACCUCAGACUCUUUUUGUCUCUGCCUUUUUUCCCCACCAUUGUCUUCCUGAAUCAAGAUCUCUCAUUUCAGCAGAGAGAUGUUCCUUCAUUCCUGUAUCAGGAACCACAUCCAUGGAUGCAUCUUUUUGUAUUAUUUCUUCCUCAUUGAACCUAAAUAUUUCCUAAAAUAUGUGAGUAAAGAGGCAAGGUGGAAAUAAAUGUGGGAAAAUAUCCCCACUUUUUAGUCUCCGUUGAAAUAAUUGGCUCAGGCAAUGAUCAUCAAUGGAUGAAACUGUUAGAGGUUGAUGGGGAUCUUUACAUGGGAGGAGUCAGGUGGUCACCUCCUGAGCCCACUCAUUAAUGACAGCGUCACUGAGAGAGGGACGGCCAGUCUUCCUGGGACUCCUGAAACACAAUCCCCUCAUACCACCUAAGAAGUACUCUUGGCAUAAUACAUUUGAGCCCGAAAAUAAUCAAGCUGCAUUUACUAGAAAUAAGGGCGUGGAGGAGCAAAUAAAAUGACACCAUAAGAGUUCCUGUCAUGGCUCAGUGGAAACAAAUCUGUCUGGUAUCCAUGAGGACUCGGGUUCGAUCCCUGGCUUCACUCAGUGGGUUAUGGAUCUGGUGUUGCUGUGAGCUGUGGUGUAGGUCAGAGAUGCAGUUCGGAUCUGACAUUGCUGUGGCUAUGGCGUAGGCUCCAGAUGCUACUCCGAUUCAGCCCCUAGCCUGGGAAUCUCCAUAUGCUGAG